UACGUAGGUGGCAAGCGUUGUCCGGAUUUACUGGGCGUAAAGAGCGCGCAGGCGGUCGUUCAAGUCGCGUGUGAAAGCCUCCGGCUCAACUGGGGAGGGUCACGCGAUACUGAUCGACUCGAAGGCAGGAGAGGGUAGUGGAAUUCCCGGUGUAGUGGUGAAAUGUGUAGAGAUCGGGAGGAACACCGGUGGCGAAGGCGGGUCUCUGGGCAUUUCCUGACGCUGAGGCGCGAAAGCGUGGGGAGCAAACGGG
rnacentral:rRNA from 1 species